rnacentral:rRNA from 1 species
CCUACGGGUGGCAGCAGGAGGGAAUCUUCCACAAUGGACGAAAGUCUGAUGGAGCAACGCCGCGGGAGUGAAGAAGGGUUUCGGCUCGUAAAGCUCUGUUGGUAGUGAAGAAAGAUAGAGGUAGUAACUGGCCUUUAGUUGACGGUAAUUACGCAGAAAGUCACGGCUAACUACGUGCCAGCAGCCGCGGUAAGACGUAGGUGGCAAGCGUUGUCCGGAUUUAUUGGGCGUAAAGCGCGUGCAGGCGGUUCAAUAAGUCUGAUGUGAAAGCCUUCGGCUCAACCGGAGAAUUGCAUCCGAAACUGUUGAACUUGAGUGCAGAAGAGGGGAGUGGAACUCCCUGUGUAGCGGUGAAAUGCGUAGAUAUAUGGAAGAACACCAGUGGCGAAGGCGGCUCACUGGGCUGCAACUGACGCUGAGGCUCGAAAGCGUGGGUAGCGAACAGGAUUAGAUACCCCUGUAGUC